UAAAUAAUGUGUAAACAUUAUAGAAAAAUACAUUUGUAAGAUAGACCCCAUAAUCGCUUCAGAAAUGUGAGCAGAAACAAAAUAAUUUACAAUUCAUUCACAUGUGGGCAGAAAGAAUAGCUUUGUUGUUCCAGCAAGAAGAAGACAAUGUGAUCAGGUUACUUCCACAUGACCCAUCUCUCAUCUCUGAACACCAACAAUAAUAUCAAAGCCCCCAAAUAAUUUACUCCUCUCCAACUUACAUCAUUGUGAUUUCAAAUCAUCUUUUUUUUUUUUAAAAAAAAAAGGAAGCAGCCAUGUGAAAUUAUUUAUAAAUAAACAGUUGAAAAAAAAAAGGAGAAUCAAUCACAUGGAGUGUGAAGAGGAGGAGAAGGAGGAAGAAGCUGUUGUUGUCUUGAGCUAAAUCUGGAGACACUUCACUCUCUCUCCUUGAUCGCUUGCACGUCAACCUUAAUCAUUUCCAAGCUCCCUUUCAGCGAUCGAACCACCACCAAAAUGUUAUCCAACUGAGCCAACUCGUUCAUGUCAAGGCAGGGGCAUAAUUGAGCUACAAUUGAAACGCGUUCAUGUCCUCCAUGGCAUUGGACGCGAGAUCCGUGAUGUCCGAGAGCGAUGUGUGCAAAUGCUUCUUCACGAAUUGGGGAUCCACCACUAGGGAUUUCCACCGCUUGCACACGCACCUCAAUUGCAGCGGAUUGCUGACCCUAAUCCAAACAAGGAUCUCGAUCAUCAGACCCUCCGGCAGGCCGCCGUCACCGCCGUCAUGCGCCGGCGCUUCCUCGUCAUCAUCACCAUGGUAAUGAUGAUGCAGGUUUCGAUUCUGGCUUCCUCGUUCCUGGAUCUUGCUCGGUUUUUUCGUUUCGCUAUUACAUCGUGUGCGUCGUUCAGGUGUUUUGUUUCGAUCCGGGUCGGAGCUGUAGCACUCUCAAUUUAGGGCUCCGAUUUUGAUGCUUUGGGAAUUCAAAUCGUCUUGCUCAGUUACCAAAUAGUAUGCUACUACUGAUAAUUAAAAUCAUUAAAAUCAUCCGAUUAAGUUG
rnacentral:lncRNA from 1 species